rnacentral:rRNA from 1 species
AACGUAGGAGACAAACGUUAUCCGGAGUUACUGGGCGUAAAGGGCGUGUAGGUGGUAGUGUAAGUCUGGCGUGAAAUUUUUCGGCUUAACCGGGAAAGGUCGUCGGAUACUGCACAACUAGAGGACGGUAGAGGCGUGUGGAAUUCCGGGUGUAGUGGUGAAAUGCGUAGAGAUCCGGAGGAACACCAGUGGCGAAGGCGACACGCUGGGCCGUACCUGACACUGAUGCGCGAAAGCCAGGGGAGCGAACGGG